rnacentral:rRNA from 1 species
UACGUAGGGUGCGAGCGUUGUCCGGAAUUAUUGGGCGUAAAGGGCUCGUAGGCGGUCUGUUGCGUCGGGAGUGAAAACUUACAGCUUAACUGUGAGCGUGCUUCCGAUACGGGCAGACUUGAGGUAUUCAGGGGAGAACGGAAUUCCUGGUGUAGCGGUGAAAUGCGUAGAUAUCUGGAGGAAUACCGGUGGCGAAGGCGGCAUCCUGGACCAUUACUGACGCUGAGGCGCGAAAGCUAGGGGAGCAAACGGG